ACACUCUUCCACUUCAGGCUGUGUAUCUCAAAGAACCCAAAACAGGGAAUUUCACACAUAUUUGUACCCAUGCAAACAGCAGUAAUAUUUACAGGAGCCCCCCCCAGUGUCUGUGGGCAUGGAUGUGAAGUUUUAAAUGUGCCACAUACAUCCAGUGGGAUGUUAUUGAGUCUGUAAAAGGUAGAGAGCCUGAGAGGUGACACAACAUGGGUGACCUUUAAAGAUGCCGUUCUCUUCUACUUCUACAACAAGUCACAAAUAGACAAUUUAGAGACAGAAUGUUGGAAUAGACACUGUGGGGAGGAAGACUAGGCAGUUGUUUCAUGGGUGCAGAAUUUCAGUUUUGCGAGAUGAAAAAGUUUGUGUCAUAUUUAUGUCAUCACAUUUUUUUUUAUUUGAAAAAAUGAAAAGAAAAGCCUGCACGUUGUCUGAUACAUGACUACAAUUAUGUGAAAUUGGUGCAAGAAUCUUAAGUUCUCCAUUCAAAUGAUAGAUGAGUGUGAAGCCCGGGAGAUUGGCAGUGGAGUAGAGAUUGGAAGCACCACUUUGUCCUUGCUUGCACAGUUGUGACAAACCAAGGGAGACUGGAAGACUCCCUAAGUGCUUCUGUGACAGUGGGCUACCAAGUUGCCACCACCUCCUCCCUAGCUGUCCAGGAACACACACAGUUCAGUGUCUCUUCUGGUUUCUACCAGCCAGUGACCCUGUCCCAUAGAAGGAAAGAUGUCGCUUUAAGAUCAUCAUGUGGUAUGUAUUGGAGACUUGCUGAGAGUUGCACUCGAAUCUCUGAGUUUUGAUUCCCCAGAUCCAGAGACGGUCUUUCCUAGAUGAAACUGAAGCGUAGAUAGAAAUUCUUCUGAAAUCAAAUUUAAGGCCUACUGCUUUCACAGGCCCCUGAGAAGCCACCCCAGUCAGUCAUUCCACUGAUCAUUUGUAAACAAAAUGAAGUGAUCGUUAUGAUAUCCAGAGGAAGAGAUUUACUGGGGUGGACACCAAAAAGAAUGGGAACAUCCCAGAAAGAGACAAAGAGAGAAGAGAAGUGAAUGCCAGUGUUUGUUUUUUAAGGUGUCUGUUUAGCAUUUUGUGGUUGGAAACACUGAACCAGAGCUGUAUAUUUGAGCAGGGAAAGGAUACUUCAACCCACCAGGAACAAAACUCAAAAACUACCAUGCAGCUUUCGACAAAUAUACACAACUGGCAAAAGGACAAUAUCAACAAUGACAGGAUAGAACCUAGAGGCCUGUGCAUAUUAGACAAGUGUUCUUACAGCUGAGUUAUAUCCCCAGAAAAUCACAUUAUUUUAAGGUACCUUUCCCCCUAUCCCUCAUCCUUUGGC
rnacentral:lncRNA from 1 species